rnacentral:rRNA from 1 species
UUAGUGGCGGACGGGUGAGUAACGCGUGGGUAACCUGCCCUAUGCAGGGGGAUAACGUUUGGAAACGAACGCUAAUACCGCAUAAUAAAGAAGGAUUGCAUGAUCUUUCUUUCAAAGAUUUAUCGGCAUAGGAUGGACCCGCGUUGGAUUAGCUAGUUGGUGAGAUAACAGCCCACCAAGGCGACGAUCCAUAGCCGGCCUGAGAGGGUGAACGGCCACAUUGGGACUGAGACACGGCCCAAACUCCUACGGGAGGCAGCAGUGGGGAAUAUUGCACAAUGGGCGAAACCCUGACGCAGCAACGCCGCGUGAAGGAUGAAGGUCUUCGGAUUGUAAACUUCUUUGAUUGGGGAUGAUAAUGACGGUACCCAAGGAACAAGCCACGGCUAACUACGUGCCAGCAGCCGCGGUAAUACGUAGGUGGCAAGCGUUGUCCGGAAUUACUGGGUGUAAAGGGCGUGUAGGCGGGGAAGCAAGUCAGAUGUGAAAUUCCGGGGCUCAACCCCGGCGCUGCAUCUGAAACUGUUUCUCUUGAGUGCUGGAGAGGAAAGCGGAAUUCCUAGUGUGGCGGUGAAAUGCGUAGAUAUUAGGAGGAACACCAGUGGCGAAGGCGGCUUUCUGGACAGUAACUGACGCUGAGGCGCGAUAGCGUGGGGAGCGAACAGGAUUAGAUACCCUGGUAGUCCACGCCGUAAACGAUGAAUGCUAGGUGUUGGGGGCCGACAGGCUUCAGUGCCGCAGGUAAACACAUUUAGGCAUUCCACCUGGGGAAGUACGAUCGGCAGAUUUGAAACUUCGAAAGGAAUAUACCGGGGAGCCGGCCAACGGAUGGAGCAUGUGUUUUAAUUUCGAAGUACGCGCGAAAAAGCGUUACUUAAACUUGAUCAUCCCUCU